rnacentral:rRNA from 1 species
GACGAACGCUGGCGGCGUGCCUAAUACAUGCAAGUAGAACGCACAGUUUAUACCGUAGCUUGCUACACCAUAAACUGUGAGUUGCGAACGGGUGAGUAACGCGUAGGUAACCUGCCUGGUAGCGGGGGAUAACUAUUGGAAACGAUAGCUAAUACCGCAUAAUAUUGAUUAUUGCAUGAUAAUUGAUUGAAAUAUGCUAUUGCAUCACUACCAGAUGGACCUGCGUUGUAUUAGCUAGUAGGUGAGGUAACGGCUCACCUAGGCGACGAUACAUAGCCGACCUGAGAGGGUGAUCGGCCACACUGGGACUGGGACACGGCCCAGACUCCUACGGGAGGCAGCAGUAGGGAAUCUUCGGCAAUGGACGAAAGUCUGACCGAGCCACGCCGCGUGAGUGAAGAAGGGUUUCGGAUCGGAAAGCUCUGUUGUAAGAGAAGAACGGGUGUGAGAGUGGAAAGUUCACACUGUGACGGUAGCUUACCAGAAAGGGACGGCUAACUACGUG